UACGGGGGGGCAAGCGUUGUUCGGAAUUACUGGGCGUAAAGGGCUCGUAGGUGGCCAACUAAGUCAGACGUGAAAUCCCUCGGCUUAACCGGGGAACUGCGUCUGAUACUGGAUGGCUUGAGAUUGGGAGAGGGACGCGGAAUUCCAGGUGUAGCGGUGAAUGCGUAGAUAUCUGGAGGAACACCGGUGGCGAAGGCGGCGUCCUGGACCAACACUGACACUGAGGAGCGAAAGCCAGGGAGCAAACGGG
rnacentral:rRNA from 1 species